UACGUAGGCAGCAAGCGUUAUUCGGAGUUACUGGGCGUAAAGGGUGUGUAGGCGGUUGUUUAAGUUUGGUGUGAAAUCUCCCGGCUCAACUGGGAGGGUGCGCCGAAUACUGAAUGACUAGAGUGCGGGAGAGGAGAGUGGAAUUCCUGGUGUAGCGGUGAAAUGCGUAGAUAUCAGGAGGAACACCAGUGGCGAAGGCGACUAUCUGGGGUGCAACUGACGCUGAGGCGCGAAGGCUAGGGUAGCAAACAGG
rnacentral:rRNA from 1 species